rnacentral:rRNA from 1 species
UACGAAGGUGGCAAGCGUUGUUCGGAUUUACUGGGCGUAAAGGGAGCGUAGGCGGUUUGGUAAGACCGGUGGGAAAGCCCGGAGCUUAACUCCGGAAGGUCACCGGUGACUGCCAGGCUAGAGGACGGGAGAGGAGCGCGGAAUUCCCGGUGUAGCGGUGAAAUGCGUAGAGAUCGGGAGGAAGGCCGGUGGCGAAGGCGGCGCUCUGGAACGUUCCUGACGCUGAGGCUCGAAAGCGUGGGGAGCAAAC